rnacentral:lncRNA from 1 species
CAUCUCUGUUCUAAAACACAUCUCUGUUCUAAAACACAUCUCUGUUCAAAACACAUCUCUCUGUUCUAAAACACACCUCUCUCUGUUCUAAAACACAUCUCUCUUCUCUGGCAGGAGAGAGCCAAUUAGAGGUACUUAUACUCAAGAGAUAUGAUCUUUUUAAUCCUCUGAUCUCUGUGCUCAGAACAGGCUCUUAAACGGACACGUGUGGUGAAGAAGUGGUCAAGUUGUUUGACCUACUUCUAUAGUGUUUAAUCUGCAACCUCAGUUAAACUUAUUGAAGAAAAAAACAACAACCUCUCCGAUGAUAACAGACCAGAAUCCAUACUACGGGUUAUAUAUCCGUUUUCUAAGGUAACUGUUGGUUAUUAUGAGGGCUCGGGACAAGGCUAAAUCUUCUUUCGUAGGAUGUUGUUUUUUUUAGCCACUGGAGGUUGGUGGCACCUUAAUUUGAGGAGGACGGGCUCGUGGUAACAGCUGGAGCGGAAUCAGUGGAAUGGAAUCAAACACAUGGUUUCCAUGGUUUCCCCGGGUGUUGGAUGUCGUUCCAUUUUCUUCCGUUCCCGGCUACUAUCACGAGCUGUCCUCCUCUCAGCAGCCUCCUGUGUUUUAGGCAUGUAUGUAACAUACGGUACAUACUGCACCAAUGUUGCAUAACCAUGAUACUCUGACUCUCUCACAUAACCAUGCUACUCUGAAUCUCUCACAUAACCAUGAUACUCUGAAUCUCUCACAUAACCAUGAUACUCUGAAUCUCUCACAUAACCAUGAUAGACUGAAUCUCUCACAUAACCAUGAUAGACUGAGUCUCUCACAAAGCUAUUCUUUCAUCUCAGUCCCAUGAUGUUGAUGCUGGCUAAAGACAUCUAUUUAUCCCCCACACCCCCCCAACCUCCCCUUUGGAAUUUCCCUUUAAGAUCAGAUCUAUUUCAUACCCAGCUCAGCGUGAUAGCUCGAGCAGCAGGCCCGAUCGCACCUCAUGACGUUUAACCACAACACCACUCGUUCUCACGCUGUCUCUCCGCUAUAAUGAGGAUCUCUGCACAAUUGUCGCUUCCCUUCUAUGUUAAAGACACGUAGUUCUGUUUCACACCUUCACAUCGUCAGCUGUCCAGACAUGGUGUACUGUGGGUAGUAGACAUGGGGUAUUGUAGGUAGGUUGACUCGGUGUCGUGCUUCUACAUCUGCAUUGCGUGCUGUUUUGUUUUGGGGGGGGGGGUUAGGCUGGGUUUCUGUAUAAGCACUUGGUGAUAUCUGGCUUUAUAAAUACAUUUGAUUGUGUUGAUUGAAUGUAUUGUGGGUAGACAUGGUACAGAGUGGCCCAGCGUCGUCUGGGUUUUGGCCGGUGUAGGCCGUCAUUGUAGACAGACUGGCCUAGUUAAAUAAAAGUGAACUAUUUUGGGUAGACAUGGUACAGUGUGGCCCAGCGUCAUCCAUAUAAAUAAAGGUUAACUAUUCAGUGUCUGUCUGUCCACUGUCUCUCUGUCCAGUGUCUGUCUGUCCAGUGUCUGUCUGUCUGUCCAGUGUCUGUCUGUCUGUCCAGUGUCUGUCUGUCUGUCCAGUAUCUGUCUGUUCAGUGUCUGUCUGUCCAGUGUCUGUCUGUCUGUCCAGUGUCUGCCUGUUCAGUAUCUGUCUGUCUGUUCAGUGUCUGUCUGUCCAGUGUCUGUCUGUCUGUCCAGUGUCUGUCUGUUCAGUGUCUGUCUGUCCAGUGUCUGUCUGUCUGUCCAGUGUCUGCCUGUUCAGUGUCUGUCUGUCUGUCCAGUGUCUGUCUGUCCAGUGUCUGUCUAUUCAGUGUCUGUCUGUCUGUUCAGUGUCUGUCUGUCUGUCUAGUGUCUGUCUGUUCAGUGUCUGUCUGUCCAGUGUCUGUCUGUCUGUUCAGUGUCUGUCUGUCCAGUGUCUGUCUGUCUGUCCAGUGUCUGCCUGUUCAGUGUCUGUCUGUCUGUCCAGUGUCUGUCUGUCCAGUGUCUGUCUGUUCAGUGUCUGUCUGUCUGUUCAGUGUCUGUCUGUCUGUCUGUCCAGUGUCUGUCUGUUCAGUGUCUGUCUGUCCAGUGUCUGCCUGUUCAGUGUCUGCCUGUUCAGUGUCUGUCUGUCUGUUCAGUGUCUGUCUGUCUGUCCAGUGUCUGUCUGUCUGUCCAGUGUCUGUCUGUUCAGUGUCUGUCUGUCCAGUGUCUGUCUGUGUGUUCAGUGUCUGUCUGUCCAGUGUCUGUCUGUCUGUCUGUUCAGUGUCUGUCUGUCUGUCCAGUGUCUGUCUGUUCAGUGUCUGUCUGUCUGUCUGUCUGUCUGUCUGUCUGUCUGUCUGUCUGUCUGUCUGUCUGUCUGUCCAGUGUCUGUCUGUCCAGUGUCUGUCUGUCUGUUCAGUGUCUGUCUGUCUGUUCAGUGUCUGUCUGUUCAGUGUCUGUCUGUCUGUCCAGUGUCUGUCUGUCUGUCCAGAGAGGGGAGGUCUAACCUGACACCACAGACAGACGGAAAGAGAGGGGAGGUCUAACCUGACACCACAGACAGAUAGAGAGGGGAGGUCUAACCUGACACAACAGACAGAUAGAGUGGACAGCUAGAGAAGGGAGGUCUAACUUGACACCACAGACAGACGGAAAGAGAGGGGAGGUCUAACCUGACACCACAGACAGAUAGAGAGGGGAGGUCUAACCUGACACCACAGACAGACAGAAAGAGAGGGGAGGUCUGACCUGACACCACAGACAGAUAGAGAGGGGAGGUCUAACCUGACCCCACAGACAGAUGGAAAGAGAGGGGAGGUCUAACCUGACACCACAGACAGACGGAAUGAGAGGGGAGGUCUGACCUGACACCACAGACAGACGGAAUGAGAGGGGAGGUCUGACCUGACACCACAGACAGAUAGAGAGGGGAGGUCUAACCUGACACCACAGACAGACGGAAAGAGAGGGGAGGUCUGACCUGACACCACAGACAGAUAGAGAGGGGAGGUCUAACCUGACCCCACAGACAGAUGGAAAGAGAGGGGAGGUCUAACCUGACACCACAGACAGACAGAAAGAGAGAGAGGGGAGGUCUAACUUGACACCACAGACAGACAGAAAGAGAGGGGAGGUCUAACCUGACACCACAGACAGACGGAAAGAGAGAGAGGGGAGGUCUAACUUGACACCACAGACAGACAGAAAGAGAGGGGAGGUCUAACCUGACACCACAGACAGACAGAAAGAGAGAGAGGGGAGGUCUAACUUGACACCACAGACAGACGGAAAGAGAGGGGAGGUCUAACCUGACACCACAGACAGAUAGAGAGGGGAGGUCUAACCUGACACCACAGACAGACAGAAAGAGAGGGGAGGUCUGACCUGACACCACAGACAGACAGACAGGGGAGGUCUAACCUGACCCCACAGACAGAUGGAAAGAGAGGGGAGGUCUGACCUGACACCACAGACAGAUAGAGAGGGGAGGUCUAACCUGACACCACAGACAGACGGAAAGAGAGGGGAGGUCUGACCUGACACCACAGACAGAUAGAGAGGGGAGGUCUAACCUGACCCCACAGACAGAUGGAAAGAGAGGGGAGGUCUAACCUGACACCACAGACAGACAGAAAGAGAGAGAGGGGAGGUCUAACUUGACACCACAGACAGACGGAAAGAGAGGGGAGGUCUAACUUGACACCACAGACAGACAGAAAAAGAGCGGAGGUCUAACCUGACACUACAGACAGACGGAAAGACAGGGGAGGUCUAACCUGACACCACAGACAGAAAGAGAGGGGAGGUCUAACCUUACACCACAGACAGACGGAAAGAGAGGGGAGGUCUAACCUGACACCACAGACAGAGAGACAGAGAGAGAGGGGAGGUCUAACCUGACACCACAGACAGACAGAAAGAGAGAGAAGGGAGAUCUAACUUGACACCACAGACAGACAGAAAGAGAGAGGAGGUCUAACCUGACACCACAGACAGAAAGAGAGGGGAGGUCUAACCUGACACCACAGACAGACGGAAAGAGAGGGGAGGCCUGACCUGAUACCGCAGACAGACAGAAAGAGAGGGGAGGUCUAACCUGACACCACAGACAGAAAGAGAGGGGAGGUCUAACCUGACACCACAGACAGACGGAAACAGGGGGGGGCCUGACCUGAUACUGCAGACAGACAGAAAGAGAGGGGAGGUCUAACCUGACACCGCAGACAGACAGAAAGAGAGGGGAGGUCUAACCUGACACCACAGACAGACAGAAAGAGAGAGAGGGGAGGUCUAACUUGACACCACAGACAGACAGAAAGAGAGGGGAGGUCUAACCUGACCACAGACAGACGGAAAGAGAGGGGAGGUCUAACCUGACACCACAGACAGACGGAAAGAGAGGGGAGGUCUAACCCAACACCACUUUCAGACAGAAAGGUUGAAAAGUCCUGAAUCAAGAAAAACAGCAAAAUAAAACCCCUUCUGGGUCCCACAAGGUCAACCACCACCCCUCCACGUCUCUUCACACAUACCUCAGCAUCAGCAUAGCAGUUGGAGUCCAGACCCGGCGGAUGCUGAUGAAGCUAUGCAUACCAUCACCAAGUGUUUGUGUAGAAGAAGAUGAGUAUACACAUUCCUGCUGCAUUUUGGUCCACUCAAUACGACAAACGUUACAGAACUACCCACCAACAACGGACCAAGCAGCGGAGGAAGGAGCAGCAAGAGGAGUAUAAGGAGUCAUGGACUUGGGAGGAGAUAUUAGCUGGAGAAGGACCAUGGAGGAAGACUGGAGAGGACCGGGAACGCUAUGCGGGAACACGGCUGGCAAGGAAGCCUGAGAGGCAGCCCCCCAAAAAUGUUUGGGGGGGGGGCACACGGGAAGAUUGGCUAGGUCAGGCAUUAGACCUGAGCCAACUCCCUGUGCUUAUUAUGGGGAGCGUUUGGCGGUGAGAACGCCAGUAUAUGCGGAAGUGCGCACGAUCUCGCCCAUGCGCACGCACAGUCCGGUGCGAGUAAUACCAGCCCCCGUAAGUGCCGUGCUAGAGUGGGCAUCCAAGCUGGGGUCAUAUUUUGCUAAUGUGCCUGAAAGUAUUAAUGUUGGACUAGGUCUAUAACACUGUAUAAAUGCUGGACUAGGUCUGUAACACUGUAUUAAUGCUGCACUGGGCCAGUAACACUGUAUUAAUGCUGGGCUGGGUCUGUAACACUGUAUUAAUGCUGGACUAGGUCUAUAACACUGUAUUAAUGCUGGACUAGGUCUAUAACACUGUAUUAAUGCUGGACUAGGUCUAUAACACUGUAUUAAUGCUGAACUGGGUCUAUAACACUGUAUUAAUGCUGAACUAGGUCUAUAACACUGUAUUAAUGCUGAACUGGGCCAGUAACACUGUAUUAAAGCUGGACUGGGUCAGUAGCACUGUA